AGCAGCCGCGGUAAUUCCAGCUCCAAUAGCGUAUAUUAAAGUUGUUGCAGUUAAAAAGCUCGUAGUUGAAUUUCGGGGUUCAUACGUUGGUCGGGCUUUUUGGUCUGUACUAGCGUAAUGGAUUCCUACCUUCUGAAUAACCGGCAUGCCAUUAAUUUGGUGCGCCGGGGAAGCAGGACUGUUACCUUGAAAAAAUUAGAGUGCUUAAAGCAGGCUAUAGCUUGAAUACAUUAGCAUGGAAUAAUGAAAUAGGACGUUUGAUCCUAUUUUGUUGGUUUCUAGGAUUGACGUAAUGAUUAAUAGGGAUAGUUGGGGGCAUUAGUAUUCAAUUGUCAGAGGUGAAAUUCUUGGAUUUAUUGAAGACUAACUACUGCGAAAGCAUUUGCCAAGGAUGUUUUCAUUAAUCAAGAACGAAAGUUAGGGAUCGAAGACGAUCAGAUACCGUCGUAGUCUUAACCAUAAACUAUGACCGACUAGGGAUCGGAUGAUGUUAAUUUUUAUGUACUUCAUUCGGCGCCUU
rnacentral:rRNA from 1 species